rfam:Theobroma cacao cultivar Matina 1-6 chromosome 3, whole genome shotgun sequence.
AAGAUAAGAGCCAGUCAGGAUAGCCAAAGGAGACUGCCCAGAAACCAUUAAAAGGACUCUGAUGAGAUUUAUCAGAUUCAGCUUUUCUUUCCUCAAAAUCCUUUUUGGAUAUAGGCAAGUCAUCCUUGGCUACCCAACAAGACUCUUAAUCU